AUCGGUUGGUCGGUGGCUGCAAGGAGAGUUAACUGGUAACUGCUCGGACACAGUCUUCUCAUGAUUCACUACUAUCUAGUAUAUAGUUUAUCUGUUAUGUAACCUAAGCCUGCCUUCAGGAACAACUCUGUAAACCUGAAUGAAUCUGAUAGUAAAGUAGAGUGGUACCUCUGGUUAUGUACUUAAUUUGUUCCGGAGGUCCGUUCUUAACCUGAAAUUGUUCUUAACCUGAAGCAGCACUUUAGCUAAUGGGGCUUCCCGCUGCUGACGUGCCGCUGCCGCGCGAUUUCUGUUCUCAUCCUGAAGCAAAGUUCUUAACCCGAGGUACUAUUUCUGGGUUAGCGGAGUCUGUAACCUGAAGCGUAUGUAACCUGAAGCGAAUGUAACCCGAGGUACCACUGUAGUUUAUGUUAAUAUGAUUCAGAUCCAUGUGUGUUUUCUUUAAGAGGGAAAGAAAGUGCCUACAGAGGGUGGUGAAUACAGCACAAGAUAUUAUGGGCUGUCCCGUGAAUCCACUGGAUGACAUUGCGGAAGAACGUUGCCUCAGAAGAGUGAGGAAAAUUCUAAGGGGUGAUUAUUCACACCCUGGCUGGCACUUUCUUGAUCUCCUGCCCUUGGGCAGAAGAUAUAGAAGCAUGAUUAGUCCCACCAACAGGGUAAAGAACAGUUUCUAUCCAUGGGCUGUUAGGCUGCUGAAUGAAAAGAUAACAACAGGGCAACUGACUUUUGGGUUUGGUGGGUGUGCGUCAGCAAACAAGGGGAAUUAAGACUAAGAAGGCUGAGUGGGGGGUGCUCGUGUAAUCUCACUGUAUACAAGUUGUUGUUGUUGUUUAGUCGUGCCCGACUCUUCGUGACCCCAUGGACCAGAGCACGUCAGGCACUCCUGUCUUCCACUGCCUCCCACAAUUUGGUCAGACUCAUGCUGGUAGCUUCGAGAACACUGUCCAACCAUCUUGUCCUCUGUCGUCCCCUUCUCCUUGUGCCCUCCAUCUUUCCCAACAUCAGGGUCUUUUCCAGGGAGUCUUCUCUUCUCAUGAGGUGGCCAAAGUAUUGAAUCAUAGAAUCAUAGAGUUGGAAGAGACCACAAGGGCCAUCGAGUCCAACCCCCUGCCAAGCAGGAAACACCAUCAGAGCCUCAGCUCCAAUACUUUGGCCAAUACAAUACAAGUUGUACAAGUGACAAUAAAGUAUUUCAUUCAAAGGGAUUAUCAACCAGGAAGGUAUGAUUAUUGAUAGGACUCAAACGAGUUAGCAACCUGCUUGUCGCUGCAUAAACUCAAACAGGGGAUCGUUUAAACUCUGCUAAAUUAUAUAAACGUUCCCAUAGGACUCAUGGGUCACGGCAAGAUAUGAAGACCCUGUUGGAUCUAGGCCAAUGGCCCCUCUAGUCCAGCAUCCUGCUCUUACAGUGGCCAGCCGGAUGCCUGGGGGGGAAAUCACAAGUAGGACCCCAGCAUGUGUUAGUUUCUGCUUUCCUUCACUGUGCAGCUCUGCUUGUCACGAGACAGGUGUUUACAUUCCACAGUCUGUACUGUUGGAGUUUCUCACGGGAAAGGGAGACUGGAUGUGACGUACACUGGUUUCCUGUUUUUCACUGUGUGAUUCUCUCCGAGCUGUCGAGGAGAGAGGAUGCAUUUUUCUGCUCCGGCAGAGGCAAGAUGUCUUUCUGUAAUAUACCAGCUUUGAACUGUAAAUAAAGCAAUAUAGAGUAUGUAGCACGUAUUCCUCAUCCUUCCGCUGGGCACCAGACUCUGCAAUAAAUCAACACGUGGUUAUGGGCUCCAGAGGUCGAAUCGGAGUGCCGGCAAAGGAUCGGAAUGCAGAGGGACGGAUCGGAAAGGAAUCUGCUCUGCGCGUAGAGGUGAUUGAUGAGGUAUGUGCUACUGCUCCGGGCAGCCUGCCAGCUUCAAGUUAAUGGCUUUAUGGCUGGACUUUGAACUUUUAAAGCCGGUUUUGCCGGGAAUAGGCAAAAGGCUCCCAGGCACAAGUCACUAUGCUGGGGAAAUCGAAGUAACUUUUAAGUGUGCCUUUGUAAUAAGGCAGCUGCAGCAGUGACGCAGCAAGAAUUAAAGCAGCAUAUGACGCUGAAGGCUAAUGCCAGAGUCAUGAUGGCCCUUCAGGAUGCUUGUGGGAUUCCUAAGCUCAACAAGAAAAAUUACAGCGACUGGGUUCAGUAUGCAGAGGCAAUUCUGCGGAAAGAGGGUUUGUUUGAGGUGAUUACAGAAACCCCCAGUUCCAGUUACAGAUGCAUGGGAAGCUAAGGAUUCCAAAGCAAGGGAACUCUUACAUUGAUAGUAUCCCCAGAAGAGCUCUGUCUAUUGCGUGAUAAGACCUCAGCCAGAGAAAUUUGGGACGCUUUGAGAGAGGCUCACUUAAGGACAGAAGCUGGAUCCACUAUGUUUUACUUUAACAAGCUGCACAAUAUGGCUCUUGCUGAAGGUGGAGAUGUGCGUUUACAUCUGAUGGAGAUGCAAAAUCUGAGACAUGAGCUGCAACAGAGAGGACUCAACUUUCCAGAGGCUGUGUAUUCUUUCAUGAUACUACAAUCUUUGGGUUCAGGUUGGGAGUCUGUUGCAACCCAGAUUGCUGUGCAACCAACUGCUCAGCUGACAGUGGACUUUGUUACUGCCGUGAUUUUAAAUGAAGGAGAUCGCCGGGUGCUAGCUGCAUGGGCAAGGGAGUCUUCACAGACGUCAUCCCAUAGUGCAGUGGAACCACCAGAUGGCGCCAAAGCUUUGAAGGCAGUGAAAUGCUACUCAUGUGGACGUCUAGGCCAUAUGAAGAGGGAAUGCAGACAUCCCAGGGCCAAGACAGAGCAGCGCAGCGAAGCUCAUCGCGCGGAAAGGCCGAGGCAAAGGCAAAGGUCCGGUGUCUAGGACAACGCAGCACAAGGCUAUGGUUUCACGCUUCACUCCAAAGGUUGCAGAGGUCCAGAAGACGUCUAGAUCUUUCUUCGUUGUUGAUUCAGCGGCCACCCACCACAUGUGCAACGAUAAGAGACUGUUUGUGUCUUUUACACCGCAGGAAGGUGCGAUUCACCAGGCGGAUGACCACACUAUUCCCAGUAAAGGCUACGGAACUGUUGUUCUUCACAGUUUGGACUUAUCGAUACAGAAUGUGCUUUACGUGCCAGACGCCAAACAUAAUCUGCUCAGCGUUGGACAGCUGAAUGAGCGGAACAUUGACGUUUCCUUCAAGAACAAGAAGUGCAUCAUCACAAAGAAAAAUGAUUAUGUAUUGCAUGCAGAAUAUGUUGAUCAUUUGUUUGUUUUGUAUUAUGAUGAUGUGGUGCAGGAUGACACUUGUUGCAUUGCAGGUUCUAACAAAAGUUUGCAUGCAGAAUGUAUUCACGAUUUUCAUCGAAAAUUUGGUCAUUUGCAUUUUGAGGCAGUAUCUAAAAUGCCUGCCUUGGUUGAAGGUAUGACUAUUAAACCCUGCAGGUACCACAUGAAGUGCAAAGCAUGCGCAGCAAACAAGGUGAAAAUGGCUGCGAAAGGUAAGGUGUCUAGUAGGAAAGCUACAGAACCAUACCAGGUUGUUCAUGCUGAUUUGGUUGGACCACUAACGCCCUCUUUGGGUGGAAAUAGAUACUUCAUGGUUCUCAUUGAUGCAUUUUCUAGAUAUAUUUUUGUGUACAAUCUCAAGCAGAAAUCGGAGGCUUUUCCUAGGUUCAAGGAAUUCUGUGCUUGGUUGGAAAAUGUGCAUGGUAAGAAGAUAAAGACUCUUUUCAGUGAUCGCGGGGGGGAAUUCACUUCUCAGCAGUUUGAAGCUUUUCUGACUGAGAAAGGAAUUCAACACGAUUUGUCUAGUCCUCGCUCGCCAUGGCAGAAUGGACUUGCGGAACGGGCAAAUCAGACAUUGCUUCAAGGCUUAAAAACCUUGCUGCAUGAUGCCAAUCUUCCAGAGAGUUAUUGGGCCGAAGCUCUCUCGUGUUUUGUUUACAGUUACAAUCGCAGGUUAUCUUCAGCGAUUGGUUGUACCCCCUAUGAGUAGAUGUGUGGCAAGAAGCCGUCCAGCAAGCACAUGAAGAUUUGUGGUUCUGACAUGUGGGUUCGCUCACCACAAAACUCCAAGUUAGACAAGCGUGGAUUGCAUGGUAUCUUUCUAGGUUAUCAGAAAGGGUCUUACAGAAUAAUGAUGACUGACUCUAAGACAAUUAAGCUCACGAGAAGUGUUGAGUACAAUGCAAAGUGGGGGAGAAUGUGGGAAUUUUCCAAUGUUAUCCUGAUGACGGUGAUGAGACUGAGGAUAGUCAAAGCAACCACAACAGCCCACACCCACUGAUGAAGGUUCUGAGUCUGAAUCUGAAACUGAAUCGGGUGAUUCAGAGGAUUUCAAGAGUGCGAAAGCCUCUAUGCGACCCUCUGAAAGCUCUGAUCAAGAAUUGGAAGAACCAUUGUUCACAAUAGGUCGUUUUUCUCCUAAGAAGGAAGAGGAGAGUGUUGAAGACUUAAGGCUAAUUCGUAGGUCACAGAGAGCCACGAAAAGCAAACCUCCAAAGAGAUUUGCUGAUGAGUUUGCUACGAUAGCAGUAACAGCUGUUAAAAGCUCCAAGAAGGUAUUUGAACCUUCAAGUUUCCAAGAAAUCCAGGGUUUGGAUUCAAAGGAAGCUGAGCCAUGGUUAAAUGCCAUGAAGGCUGAGCUUGAUUCCUUAGAAAGGAACAAAACAUGGGAGCUAGUUCCAGUAGUUCCAGGAAUGAAACUGCUUGGAAGCAAAUGGGUCUUCAAAGCGAAGACAGAUCAAAAUGGCAAGAUAGUCAGACACAAAGCCAGAUUGGUAGCCAGAGGUUUUGCACAGGUACCAGGUGAAGACUAUCACGAGACCUAUUCACCCACAGUGAGAUAUGAAAGCAUUAGGCUUAUGCUCAAGCUAGCUGCAGAGGAAAAUCUACACAUUAGUCACCAUGAUAUUAAUACAGCUUUUCUGUACGGAUCUCUAGAUGAAUCACUUUAUAUGCUUCCACCUGAUGGCGUACAGGUAAAACAGGGAUUUGUUUGUGCUCUGAAGAAAUCCCUUUAUGGUCUCAAACAAAGUGCACGGUGUUGGCACACAAAACUCACUGAAGUAUUGUUUUCUCUAGGUUUUCAGCAAGGGAAAGCUGAUCCAUGUGUAUUUGUCAAAGAGGAGGGGCAAAAGAAACUGUACUGUUUGUUUUAUGUUGAUGAUUUAUUAUUCUUUUGGAAAGAUGUUGCAAUGUACAAUAGCGCCUAGCUCAACUGAAAGAGCACUUUGACAUGAAAGAUCUUGGUGAGGUAAACAACUACCUAUCUCUGGAAAUAGAGAGAGAUCAAGAUGGUAACAUUCUAGUACACCAGUCACGGAAAAUUGCUGAUGUAUUAAGCAAACUAAAUCUGAUGGAUGCUAACCCUGUAGACACACCGAUGACAACAGGUUAUCAGGUAGAUGACACUGAAGAAGCAUUUUCUGACACUACACUGUACAGGAGUGUGCUAGGCAAGCUAAACUUCAUUGCCAGAUGUUCAAGACCAGACAUUGCUGUUAGCUGUAAUUUGCUAAGCAGACAAGUCAACAAUCCUAGUGUCAAGGAUUGGAAAGCUCUGAAACGCAUAGCGCGGUAUUUGAAAGGCACUAUGCAUUACAGACUGAGAUUUAACAAUCAGAAGUCUGGUGGUCUUGAGAUAUUUGCAGAUGCAAGUUUUGGAAGUGACGCUACAGACAGGAAAAGUACGUCUGGAGUUUGCUACAUGUACAAUCAGAGUCUGUUUGAUUGGUCAUGCAAGAAGCAAACAACAGUUAGCUUAAGUACUUGUGAAGCUGAACUGAAUGCACUGUCUUAUUCACUUAAAGAUUGUGAAUGGUUGUUACAAUUGUGCAAAGAUAUGAAAAUUCCUGUCAAAUGUCCAAUCCAGGUUUACCAGGACAACAAAGCAUGUUUGGCUUUGCUCAAGUCUGAAGGUUGUAAGCUACGCACAUAGCUCUUACAAUUAAAGUUGCAGCAUGCUAGGGAAUGUAUUCAGAAGGGACUCGUAACGGUGUCCUAUAUGCCAGGUAAUGAAAUUCCUGCUGAUGUAUUGUCCAAGAUUGUAUCAAGGGAUCAACACUGUACCUAUGUGCAGAAGUUGGGUUUGUACUGAUAUUGUGCAAACACGCUGCCCAGUGAUGUUCACAGAAAGGGGAGGAUGUUAGUUUCUGCUUUCCUUCACUGUGCAGCUCUGCUUGUCACGAGACAGGUGUUUACAUUCCACAGUCUGUACUGUUGGAGUUUCUCACGGGAAAGGGAGACUGGAUGUGACGUACACUGGUUUCCUGUUUUUCACUGUGUGAUUCUCUCCGAGCUGUCGAGGAGAGAGGAUGCAUUUUCUGCUCCGGCAGAGGCAAGAUGUCUUUCUGUAAUAUACCAGCUUUGAACUGUAAAUAAAGCAAUAUAGAGUAUGUAGCACGUAUUCCUCAUCCUUCCGCUGGGCACCAGACUCUGCAAUAAAUCAACAGCAUGAGCCCUCUCUUCUCCCGUGGUUUCCAGCAACUGGAAGCAUUGCUGCCCCCAGGUGUGCAGGCAGAGCAUAGGUAUCAUGGCCAGGAGCCACUAUGGCUAGUAGCCAUCAAUAGGCCUCUCCUCCAUGAAUAACAAUUUAUUAUUAUCUGCCUUUUCAUGGGCUGUUCGGAGUAACAGAUACAGAAAUCUAAGGAGCUUCAAAAAACAAACAAACCAGAUGACGUUUAAAAAAAGUAUUCAAAGGUCUCGUAAAGACCAACAGGCAUAUUUUCCUGGGGGUGAGGGAGGGAAUUCUGAAGGUAUGGGGCCGCCACUGAGGAGGUCCAAUUUCUUGUAAUAAAAUAAAAUAAGGUAAAAGGUUAAAGGUAAAGGACCCCUGGACGGUUAAGUCCAGUCAAAGGCGACUGUGGGAUUGUGGCGCUCAUCUCGCUUUCAGGCUGAGGGAGCCGGCGUUUGUCCAAAGAUAGUUUUCCGGGUCAUGUGGCCAGCAGGACUAAACCAUUACUGGCGCACGGAGGACCAUGGUGAGUGCCAGAGCGCACGGAAACGCCGUUUACCUUCCCGCCACAGCGGUACCUAUUUAUCUACUUGCACUGGCAUGCUUUUGAACUGCUAGGUUGGCAGGAGCUAGGACAGAGCAAUGGGAGCUCACCCUGUCGUGGGGAUUCGAACCACCGACCUUCCAAUCAGCAAGACCAAGAGGCUCAGUGGUUUAGACCACAGCGCCACCUGCGAAUAAUAAUAAUAACAAUAAUAUUAACAACAUGCUGCCCAUCUGACUGGGUUCCCCCAGCCACUCUGGGCAGUUCCCAACAAAUGAAAACACAGUAAGACAUCAAACAUUAAAAACUUUCUCUAUACAGGGCAACCUUCAAAUGUAGCUAGCUGACAGUAAGCAAACACCUGAAAGAACUAGUUGUGUUUAGCCUACCUAAAUAAAGAGCAGGUGAGAAAAUGUUGGCAGUUUUCAAGUCUGAAGAAAUGUCAGGGAAAAAGAAGGGGUGAUGCAGGUUUAUCAGGACAUGAUAGGCCAGAACCAACAGUGCUUCCCAAACCCCAAACAAAAGGGUACCCAUUAAAAAUUGUCAUCACUGAUUUAACAUUUGUUUCCCCCAGUAAUUAAUUUAUUGCUUAACCUAAUGAAAGUUCACAGCUCUGUAAAAAAAGGUUUUGUAACAUGUAAAUUUAUUUAAAUGCACUCAAUUAAUUAAUCGAUCCACUGGUUAAAAGCCAGGUAAUUAAUCAACAAAAAACCUCCAUUCCUUGCCAACCCUAAAAAAUAUGGGCACCAUUUAAAAAAAAGCAAAAAUGAAAAUAUCGGGUGUUGUGCCAACUAAUCUGUCAUGACUGAAUGGGCUGUGGCAAUAUCGCCUCUCUAGUUGAUUGUCCCAGAAUCCCACCUUGUGCCUUAGGAUGUCGGAGACUUCCAGUGACAAUGGGAGUGGAAAUGGCCAGUGUUUGCUUAUUCGUUCCAGGUCUGAAUGGAAAAUCAAUCCAGCGGAUGCAGUUGAUAUUUGCCAUUGAUUUCAGUCCACAGACGAUAACGUAAUUGAUCAAGCUUGCCCCCCACCCUAUUUGCGUUGUGUUUCCUUUGCACGAAAAUGAACGAGGUGGAAUAACAAAGCAACGUAAUUUAUGUAAGUUGUGCAAUUUCACCACAGCUGACGGCAAGAUGAAUAAUGUAGUUUUUGGCAGAAGAUGAAUUGCAGCAGAACAGAAUCAGUGCCGCAUGCGACAAGUACGGAGCUGAAAUUAAAAUGCUGCCUUCUUCCAUCCCUUCUUAUGACCAACUUAAGGGGCUGCAGUCAGCCAGCCCAAGUUGCUGGCUCCUUGCUGUGCCUUAUUGCGUAAAUAUAGGUCAGCCAGACAAUACGGCUCCAGCCUACAAAUCUUCUUUUCAGAAGCCAAACUUCCAGCCUCAUAAAUGUGGAAUUUGUUGAGACCAGGAACGUUAGCCCAUUAUUAGCCAAUCCGAGCCUUAUGAAAACAAAAAACUCUUGCAGCACAAGCCAUGAGGAAUAAUUGUGAGUCUAGCAGCAACGUUGUGCUGUAACACGGGAUGCCGAAAUCUUCUGUAAUGUCUUGCCAGGGGGGAUUAACUACACAAUCACAGCAUUUUAGGCGGUCUGUUUUUUAUGUCCCUCACUCCAAAACUGUUGUGGGAGGUGAGGCCAGAGCUGGCUAUGAACAAGCAGUUACAAUGAGCUCUGCUCCUAGUGCGCCACACGUUUUAGCGGUUUUUCUAUCUCAUCAGCAUGUUGUGCACAUUAGAUAUCUUUAAACGUUUAGCUUUGAGCUAAACAGUAUGGAUGCGUCCAGGCAGCUCUACAUAGGAUACAAAAUUCAUUGCGUUCCAGAGGGAUUGCUGUGUUAGGGCACUUCCAGGGUUGUUGCUAUUUUCUGGGUGGGAUUCACUCACACCCCGGCAAACUCAGAUCGCACAAUUGUAGUUGAUUGGUGGGUCUUCCACCAAGAAAAGCCCUCCCCCUUCAAAUCAGAAUGUUUGCAACAAGGAAAAUGAUGCGAAAAUACAGUGGAAGUUUGGGAUAACUCUUGCAAAGAAAUCUGAAUGGAUGUCCGUUCAGUGGCCAACGUCCAAUCUCUGCAAACAAAUCAGGAUGAGGGCACAGUAAACAGGUUUCCUGUAGUCUGUUGCAACAAAAGAAAGGAACACCUGAAAGAGUAACAAAAUUAUUCUGGCAUAUGUUUUCAUGGACUAGAGUUCACUUCAUCAUAUUCCUUUGGGAUUCCCUUCCAACUCUUCAAUUCUAUGGCUGCAGUUCUGAGAUAGGCUUUGGCUGCUUUAAAUAUUAUUAACUUCGAUGAGAUUUAAGUAAUCCAACUGCAAGGCCGCAGCUCCCAAGUUUACACUUCAAUAAACGUGCUGUUACCUGUCCUAUGCAGGGAUCCAGGUCUCUUCCCUAUUUAAAGUGUGUCUGUUCAUUUCCCUGACAUUCAGAUUUGAUUGUGGUGAGAGUAUGACUUCUUCUCCAGCUGGCAAGCAGAAAAUUUGCAUUCCAGCGAACAUACUGCUACACGAACCCAAAUACCCGAUCAGUAAGCAAUCUCAGGGGUCUCAGAACACACUCUGGAGUUUGUUUCCUUGAAAUGAAGGUCACUCGAGAGACUGCAGUGUCUUUGUGAUAUACGGUUUUAUUUACACUGUAUACAGGCUCAGUAAAAGCUGGGAGGUUUGCAGUGUUUGUACAGAUCUUGCUUGCCCACUAGGUUUUUGAGAGGAGGCAUCAAAGCCACAGCUUUGGAUUCUGCACAGAGAGCAAAAAUCAGACACCAUCUCUCUCUCCCCCCCCCCCUCUCUGCAGUGCCAAGUCAAGACUGGCCUCAGGCCUGUUGUUUUCUUAAAGUCACCAGGGACAUCUCCAGCAUGAGGACAGGAGAAGGCAUGCCUUCUCUUUAUCUACCCGCCUUUGUGAAAGCAUCAGCCAAUUUAUUUUCGUGGCAACCGGUCACCUGUACGCUUUAGAAAUACUCCACAGACACUUAACUUCAGAGAUCCUUUUAAAGAGAUACUUAACAAAGGAGAUUCACAUGACCACUUUAGCAGCCUUUCGUUCUACAGAAUCCCAGAGGCUUGGCAGAGGUUAAAGGAUGACACCCUAUAACAAUACACUACUGCCUUGUUGUUGUUGUUGUUGUUGUUGUUUAGUUGUGUCCAACUCUUUUUGACCCAUGGACCAGAGCACGCCAGGCACUCCUGUCUUCCACUGCCUCCCGCAGUUUGGUGAAACUCAUGUUUGUAGCUUCGAGAACACUGUCCAACCAUCUCGUCCUCUGUCGUCCCCUUCUCCUUGGGCCCUCCAUCUUUCCCAACACCAGGGUCUUUCCCAGGGAGUCUUCUCUUCUCUUCACGCUACUGCCUUACAGCAGCCCUUUUCAGGGGCAGACUUCGGUCUUUCAGAUUUCAGCGGCUCUCUGUGCGAGGUCAAAAUCUGGCACCUCCCUGCCUUUCACCUUCUGUUCCAAUCAAUUCUCUGUCCUAGUUGUGCCACCCUACGGCACCCCCUAGACUCGGCCCCUGUGUGGCGGAACCGGUCACGCUGCCCUAAACCUUCCCCUCUCCUUUUCACAUGUUCACAUCCUGCACGGAAGGAACACAUGGAGGAGAAGAGCAGGAGCGCACCUGCGGUCGCUACUCCCGAUCUCCACAUGUUCACUGUCACUCAGGAAAAUUCAUCACGCUUACAGCUUGCUAGUGCAAGGGCUUGGUACACACAGCGGAUUACCAGGUUGAGAGAAGGGCUGGGGAGAGCACUUUUGAAAGUGGUGCUUUUUUUCAGGGUGAGAGUGUGGGAAUGUUGAGGAUAGUAGGAGAGGAUAUAUUGAUUACUGUAAAUACUAUCCUUCCUCACAGUAGUGAGCUAGUAGUAUAGCACAUUCCCCUGUACAUAGAAGGAAGCUAGUUGAUAGAUUUGUUAGAACCAUUUGAGUUAAGCAAUCCAGUCUGGCUUGUCCAGAUUGGGUUGUUCCUGGUAAAUCCCCUUUGUUCCCUUUUAAAAAAAUAAUGACACAACGGUCUUCUUUUAGAAAGUAGUGAUAAGGUUUACUUACAUUCAGUUCACAGUACAGUCAUACCUCGGGUUGAAGUAGCUUCGGGAUAAGUGUUUUCGGGUUGCGCGCUGUGUUACUUCCGGGUUUCGCCGCUUGCGCAUGCGCAGACGGUCAAAAUAACGUCACGUGCAUGCACAGAAGCGGGAAAUCACGACCCACAGAGGCGGGUUGCAUUCGCUUCUGGAUGCGAACGGGGUUCCGGAACAGAUCCCGUUCGCAUCCAGAGGCACCACUGUAUGGUCCUGGGCAGGCUUUAGCUUUCAGUUACAGUUACAGAGAAAAGUCUGGGUUCAUCCUCUUGUGAAGGAUGAGCCCAUGUGCUGCUGGCUGAGGGCCAGCACACAGCAAAAGAGCAAGAGAGGAAGAUGGCUGCAUGACUGGCCCUUUUGUAGGGUCUGCCAGGGUCACGCCCAUCUACACGCAGGAGGAGGAUGCUCCAGACCAGGUGUGACAGGAAGUUCUCCUGGCUGGAGCAACAUUCCCCUAUGUGUCCACUCUGGGCAAACAGGAAGUGUUAUAUUUGACUGCUUAUGUUACAUCCCACAGAGAGAGCAACACAGGUCACGUGACUCGCCUGGGAGUGUCCCAGAAGAUGUGCGUCCCAGUUUUGGGUCAGGGAAAGUUGGACGGCAUGGACACUGGCCAAUAUGUUGAUGACUCUUGCCAUGAAGUGCCCCAAAGCUGCCCUCCUGCAUCUGGAACCUCCUGCAUCUGGUUAGGUUCCAGCCCUGCCCUUUCCCACAAGUCACCAUUUCCACGGCUUUCUCGCUUCCAGCGGUGGAGGCUCUGCAAUUUGCUCCAUGAUUUCAGUGCCAUUUUGUUAUUACAGAUGAAAGUUGGACAUUAAGGGCUUAAUUCCAAAAUCACUACCCCAUUCUGCAUUCGUCCCUGAACAGUGCUUUUAAAAAUAAUAAUAAAAUAAAAAUCUCCUGCUUCCUUAGUUAUUAUUGCUAAAACGAUAUCUUAGCUCAGUAACACCGCAC